UGCUGGGGGCAGCUAAAACCAACACACGAAACCCCGCGCAUCAUUUUAAAACAAGCCACCCCUCCCACCAACCCCCGCACCCUCUUUUCUUCUCCUCUACGCCCUUCUCUCCGGCCAUUCUCCGGCGCCAUCACCGUCGCCUCCCUCCACGACGAAGCCGCCUUUGCCGAGGUCCACCUCUGCAUCGGUCAACUUCGAGGCCCGGGCCACUGGCCAGAUCUAGCGAUCCCGGGCUCUCCGCGGCGGGACUCAAGACCUCCAGAUCUGACGUCGGUGAUGCUCGGGACCGCCUGAUCUGGGGGAGGGGGUGGUGGCGACAGUCCUUGGCUUCGGCGAGAGCUCUGGCAACGAUAAAGUGGCGGCUGCGUCCGGCGGCCUACAGGCUCCCGCCAGCCGCACGCGCCCAGCUGUGGCGCCCGGCGGCGCAGCUGUCUUCGUGCGCCGCGCCGGCGCCCGCGCAGCCGCGUCCUCUCCGUGACUCCGCGUCUCCGGCUCUCCUCCCCUGGCCGCGCCCUCUCCGUCCCGCGUCCGGCUGUCGCCUACUCGCCCGGCAGCCUCCCGGGCUCCUGGCGUCCCGCCCGACGCCGCCAGCACCCAGCCGCCUAGGCCAGCAGGCCCCAUCCACCGUCCGCCCGUCCGGCCAAUGCUAGUGCGCCACAGCGCCAGUGCAUCACUCCCUCUUCGGAUCUAAACACAUGCAUCCCUCUAAUUAUAGAUGUAAGCACGCAAAUCCAUCAUUUAAAUUUGUAGGCAUAUUCUCACAUGUGUACUAAUUGUUCCAUCAAAUUGUUCGUCCAACAAACUAAUAUAAUUCCCUGGUGAAUUGUCCUUUCUUGCUCAUCUAUCUACUAAUGCAGCAAAAAAUUUGCUUGAGUUCAGAUGGUGUUUUUUAUUUUGGAAAUUGGAACUGUAUCGGACAUUUAGUCAACCUAGUUAUUUUUGUUGGGCAUCAGGCCAUCAGCUCAACCGGAUUGACAUGGUGACAUGUGCAUGUUGCUUAGAAACAGAAUUCUAAACCUUAGGUGCUCACAUAUAGAAUUAGGCAGCUGCAUGUGCUUAGAUGAAAAAAUUUUGGAAAGUUGCACCUUGUGAUCUACCAAUUCCACAUAUGGAUGAAGGGUCAUCUGUUCCUGUUGUAGAUGAUGCUCCAAUUGAUGAAGACACCGUUGUUGAAGAAGGGUCAUGUGAAGAACAAGGACCACCUCCACCUCCAGAUGUUGUUGCUCAUUUAGGUAAGAUUCAAACUUAUUUGUCAUUUUGUACUUGUACUGAACCAUUUAGAGUUAUAUACCGUAUCGUUUACCACAUUUUAUAUCGAAUCAUAUUGUAUUGCAUUCGGUUUUUUUGCUAGGCCUACCCUGAGUUCAAGUCCUGGGUCCGCCACUGCUCAGAUGCCCGACCUGCACGGCUGCACGUAUACGACAUGUAUACCGACAUGUAUAGUUCUAGAACCAUAUUAUACUAAAUAAUUGUGUACCCAAUACAUAUAAGCAUCAUCUCUCUAAUUAAUGGCAAUAUGCAACAAUAAAGUGCAUGGAAAAAAAUGCGUACCAUAAUGAAAGAUACCAAC
rnacentral:lncRNA from 1 species